ACAUAAAACAAGGGGAGCUUUUAGCUGAGAGUGAACAUUACUAUGUUCUGACCCACUGAACCUGUUACGUUAGUGCGUGCGUAGGGAUGUGUUGUCGUCUAUCG
rnacentral:ncRNA from 2 species